GUUUGUUAUCUUAACAUUCAUGCAACGCAUGCUGGUCUACUCAUCUGACAAGCCACUUCUUCCCACUUUAAGUCUUUGAAACUUAAGACUGUUUUCUCAAGCAUAUGUAGAGCCAGUUACUAAGUGUGAAGUAACUCUUUGGGCAAAAGACUAUUGGACUCAUGACUGUGAAUGUACCCAUUUCAGAAGGCAGGGCUCUCUUUCCUUUGAAUCUCCAUGCAAUCAUUUAAAGAAACCAAAAUGUUGUCAGCCUUGUCAAGGUGGAGAAGAGCUGCCAAACUUUAUCUUGUCUUCACUUCAGCAGUAUAUAAGAAAACUUUUUAAUGCAGGCUCACUUCCGCAAGUAAACUGGUGACUCAUUUAAAAUAAAUGAAUAAUCUCACUGAGUUGGGAAUAUUCCUAUGAACAACAAUCCCCAGGAGUUUCUUGGGAUUUGAAUCUGCUCCACAUGUGAAGCUCUUUAGGAAGAAAGUUUCUGUAGAAAUCACAAUUCUGAAUGCUUGUUUGUGUUCACACACCUACAUUCCUUCAAAGUUAAAGGUGUCCCUUCAGUUUGUAGCUCAGUGUAAAUGAUUUGUU
ensembl:lncRNA